AUAGGCAUACAUAUUUCAUUACUGUGUGCAGCUGCGGUGUUAUCGCUUACUCACCUAAAACUGUAAACACUAAAGAGGUAGUGGCUAGGGCAUGGAGGUAGGGGCUAUGGAGAAGAAGCUAUGGGUUACUAUUGGAUCACCAAGACCUAGUUCUCUUCACUGUUUAAGCGUCCUCUUGGUUUUGUCUCUCAGGACUGAUUGGACAGAGGCGGCUUGGGACUUGAACCUGGCUUUCUGCUGCUUUCAAGAGAGAGAGAGAGAGAGAGAGAGAGAGAGAGAGAGAUCAGUCUCAUCUUUCACCACCCUGUAAAGUUCAUCAUAACUUAUUUCACCUCUAGCCUAAUAAACUGUAGCCUUUCCCGAGUCGUAGUGGGAGGACCACACACCAUAUCACCUGAAUCCAAGUUGACUUCGAUAUGAUGGUUAUUAUAUCAAUAUCUGCGCAUAAAGGUGUUUCCACCGCCAUUUCUCGCAUAAUUCAUUUUACCGACACAGAAAGAUCCCACCUUGCCUGGCGUAUUUUGUUUUGUCGACAUUUGGAAAGUUUACAGCCAAAUGUGUUGUUUCCAUCAGGCCUGUCCUGACAUGUUUAAUCCGACAUGUACUUUACUCACAUAACAAGGUUGGAUGGAAACCAGGUUAGUGAUGCUAAUAUACAUUAUUACAUUCAGUAAUAAGCUACAGUCUGUCUGAAAUGACAUCCUAUUCCUAUAGUGCACUAGGGAGUAGGGUGCCAUUUCAGACACACUUCAGAGACACAUCAUGUUAAUAUGCAGUCUUUGAAAAUGUUGCCAAUGGUUACGGGGUCAAAUGAACUCUGAACUUUCCAGAGAGGAUGUCCUGUGUCGGUGAUGUCACAGGGUCCUGUUUUUCAGCGGACGGAGGGAUGUUGUAGAAAACAGAGGACGGAAAGACAUAGGAGGGAGAGGAGCAGGAAGAGGAGGAAGAGAGGGAGGAGGAAGAAGGGAGUAAUGUGGGGGAGAGUGUGGAAGGAGGAGAGGGUUUGAGGAAUUUUAUUUCAGGGGCUUUGAUUGCAGUGCAUCUUAUCUUGAAGGUCUC
rnacentral:lncRNA from 1 species